UAAAACAAUCCUAGCGCACGCGCGUGUUGAUGCAGGCGUGCGUAGCGAUGUUUUUGGGCUUGAGAAGAACUGGGUUGCUUCCUCUUGCAGGGGCCACAAAACCUUGUUUUUUUUUCCUCUAUAGGCCGCAGGCCUGCUUUUUUUUUUUUGUCUGUUCUGGGCCGCAGAGGCCUGCUUUUUUAUUUUGGGCCGGGUCUUUACUUUGGCCCGGGUCACGUUUUUUUUCUCUUGUUUUUUUUUUUUUUUUUUUUUUUGUUGGGCCGGGUAAACCCAUCUUUUUCUUCCUUCUUUUCUCUUUUCUUCUUUUUCUUUUCGCUCUGUUUUUUUUCCGCGUCCUCUUUCCUCUCCUUCUUCUUUCUCCGCCUGUUCUUCUUUUCUGGUUUUCUGGGUUACAGAAAUUGCAGAUUGGCUAGCUGGCGAAAGAUGAGGCCGGCUGUGGGGCUUCGUGGCCGGGAAGGAUGAGGCCGGCUGUGGGAUGGAGUGGGAAGACCGCCGGAUCGAGAUGGAGGCCGGUCUGGACGGGACUGUGUUGCGCAGCUCGCGGCCUGGUGAGCUGGGAUCGGUCGGCGGCUGGGAUUGGGCAGCAGCUAGGCGGGAUCGGUGUGGGAUCUGCGCAGCGCUGGGUUGCUUGGCUCGGUGUGGGAUCUGCUCAGGCGGGUUGUGAGGCCGGAGAGGCAGAGGUGAGGGGCUGCGCUGGGCAGGGCUGACCGGCGAGGUGAGGCCGGUGAGGUAGACGGGGAAUUUUUUUUUUUUGGUUGUUGGUGGCGGCAGAAAAAGAAGAAAAUAUUUUUUUUUUUAGGGUUUUUUGUUCGACAGAAAGAAAUUAGAAAAUUGGGAUUUUUUUUCUUGGCUAUUGACUCUGAGCGUGCUGAUAACGUGUAAAAGUAAAAUGCAAUUGAAAUUGGUCUACUCAUUUCAUUUCAUAGUCCCUUUAUAUAGGGAUAGAAUUACAACGGAAAUAUCGAUUACAUUAAUAAUACUAAAUGCUGAUUGAUCCGUAAUUGUGCUAA